rnacentral:rRNA from 1 species
UACAGAGGUCUCAACCGUUGUUCGGAUUCAUUGGGCGUAAAGGGUGCGUAGGCGGUCGCGUAAGUCAGGUGUGAAAUCCCGGGGCUCAACCCCGGAACUGCACUUGAUACUGCGUGGCUAGGGUACUGGAGAGGAGACUGGAAUUUACGGUGUAGCGGUGAAAUGCGUAGAUAUCGUAAGGAAGACCAGUGGCGAAGGCGGGUCUCUGGACAGUUCCUGACGCUGAGGCACGAAGGUCAGGGGAGCAAACGGG